rnacentral:rRNA from 1 species
AUUGAACGCUGGCGGCAUGCCUUACACAUGCAAGUCGAACGGCAGCACGGGAGCUUGCUCCUGGUGGCGAGUGGCGAACGGGUGAGUAAUACAUCGGAACGUACCCUGAAGUGGGGGAUAACGUAGCGAAAGUUACGCUAAUACCGCAUAUUCUGUGAGCAGGAAAGAGGGGGAUCGCAAGACCUCUUGCUUUAGGAGCGGCCGAUGUCGGAUUAGCUAGUUGGUGAGGUAAAGGCUCACCAAGGCGACGAUCCGUAGCGGGUCUGAGAGGAUGAUCCGCCACACUGGGACUGAGACACGGCCCAGACUCCUACGGGAGGCAGCAGUGGGGAAUUUUGGACAAUGGGCGCAAGCCUGAUCCAGCCAUGCCGCGUGAGUGAAGAAGGCCUCGGUUGUAAGACUCUUCGGUUGGGGAAGGAAAGUUAGCUUC